UACGUAGGGGGCGAGCGUUGUCCGGAGUACUGGGCGUAAAGCGCACGCAGGCGGUUUCGUACGUCUGGAGUGACAGUUCCCGGCUCAACUGGGAAAGGUCUUCGGAAACGGCGAGACUUGAGGGCUUCAGAGGGACACGGAAUCCGGGUGGAGUGGUGAAAUGGCGUAGAGAUCCGGAGGAACACCAAUGGCGAAGGCAGUGUCCUGGGAAGCAUCUGACGCUCAGGUGCGAAAGCUAGGGGAGCGAACAGG
rnacentral:rRNA from 1 species